rnacentral:SRP_RNA from 1 species
GGGUCAAGUCCCUGCGGUCAUGACAGAUCGAACCCCGCCAGGUCCGGAAGGAAGCAACGGUACAUUUGCUCUGACAGGCUGGUAAGCUUGACCUUUU